UCUGACUCGAUUUUAGACAUAUUUAUUCUGAAAUUUCAAAUGACAUUAGGGGAAAUAUAAUUUUUAUGUUUACUGAAGGGCAUGGACAAGAAACCAGCUCUAAUACACUUUGCUAGAUUAUCCAAAUACUACAUUUAUGCAUCAAAUUCUCCUUGAAACAGCACUUCCUUACUCCCUCCAUCCUCCCCUCAAAAUAGCCAUGUUCACAAAGAACAGAAUUCUGCAGCUUAACCAGCACAGGAUGACAGAGUAACGCGAAGGCAGUGUUCCCAUGAAGACAGGAGAUGAGAGGCUUAGCAGCAACCAUUAGGCGUACCUCUCAGCCGCUCCUCUUUCCUAGUCUGGCUUUUCAUUUCUUAUGCCACCCCCCCACCUUGUUCAUUAUUUUCAUCGCCCUUGUCUCCCUACCAGUUUUUCAUUUUCUAUUUACCAAAAAUUUCCCUCGCUCUAAUACCAAAUCUAGCCUGUCUGCCUAUAACUGAGGUUAUACUCUGACCACUUCCUAAGGAGAACAGAUGCUGCUCAGUAGUGUAGAUAUAUCUUGCAAUUAAUGCUGUUAGAGUGACUAAUACACAUACAGAUGGCAAUCAAAUCUAGGCAUGGAAAUGUUAAAACCUGGACUCAUUGAGCUUGGGCUAAAAUUUAGAGCUAAAUAUUAACAACAAUACUGGGGCACUGUUAUUUUAGCAAGACACUUAAACAUAGC
rnacentral:lncRNA from 1 species